rnacentral:tRNA from 1 species
AUGCCUGCCUGUCACGCAGGAGGUCGCGGGUUCGAGUCCCGUCCGGACCG